UGUUUCCUGCAGAAUGAUUACCUCUCUGUAGCCUGUGGGACAGUGAGUGACAACGUCAGCCUUACACCAUGUUUCCUGCAGAAUGAUUACCUCUCUGUAGGUUGUGGGACAGUGAGUGACAACGUCAGCCUUACACCAUGUUUCCUGCAGAAUGAUUACCUCUCUGUAGGUUGUGGGACAGUGAGUGACAACAUCAGCCUUACACCAUGUUUCCUGCAGAAUGAUUACCUCUCUGUAGGUUGUGGGACAGUGAGUGACAACAUCAGCCUUACACCAUGUUUCCUGCAGAAUGAUUACCUCUCUGUAGGUUGUGGGACAGUGAGUGACAACAUCAGCCUUACACCAUGUUUCCUGCAGAAUGAUUACCUCUCUGUAGGUUGUGGGACAGUGAGUGACAACAUCAGCCUUACACCAUGUUUCCUGCAGAAUGAUUACCUCUCUGUAGGUUGUGGGACAGUGAGUGACAACAUCAGCCUUACACCAUGUUUCCUGCAGAAUGAUUACCUCUCUGUAGGUUGUGGGACAGUGAGUGACAACAUCAGCCUUACACCAUGUUUCCUGCAGAAUGAUUACCUCUCUGUAGGUUGUGGGACAGUGAGUGACAACAUCAGCCUUACACCAUGUUUCCUGCAGAAUGAUUACCUCUCUGUAGGUUGUGGGACAGUGAGUGACAACAUCAGCCUUACACCAUGUUUCCUGCAGAAUGAUUACCUCUCUGUAGGUUGUGGGACAGUGAGUGACAACAUCAGCCUUACACCAUGUCUCCUGCAGAAUGAUGACGUCAACAUCUUUAAGAUUUUUGUUGAAAUCCAGUGCUAAACUCUUCAGUCCAAAGGUUGUUGAGUUUAGGCCCUGAAUGUUCCACAUGCUAACUGAUAGGUUGUUGAGUUUAGGCCCUGAAUGUUCCACAUGCUAACUGAUAGGUUGUUGAGUUUAGGCCCUGAAUGUUCCACAUGCUAACUGAUAGGUUGUUGAGUUUAGGCCCUGAAUGUUCCACAUGCUAACUGAUAGGUUGUUGAGUUUAGGCCCUGAAUGUUCCACAUGCUAACUGAUAGGUUGUUGAGUUUAGGCCCUGAAUGUUCCACAUGCUAACUGAUAGGUUGUUGAGUUUAGGCCCUGAAUGUUCCACAUGCUAACUGAUAGGUUGUUGAGUUUAGGCCCUGAAUGUUCCACAUGCUAACUGAUAGGUUGUUGAGUUUAGGCCCUGAAUGUUCCACAUGCUAACUGAUAGGUUGUUGAGUUUAGGCCCUGAAUGUUCCACAUGCUAACUGAUAGGUUGUUGAGUUUAGGCCCUGAAUGUUCCACAUGCUAACUGAUAGGUUGUUGAGUUUAGGCCCUGAAUGUUCCACAUGCUAACUGAUAGGUUGUUGAGUUUAGGCCCUGAAUGUUCCACAUGCUAACUGAUAGGUUGUUGAGUUUAGGCCCUGAAUGUUCCACAUGCUAACUGAUAGGUUGUUGAGUUUAGGCCCUGAAUGUUCCACAUGCUAACUGAUAGGUUGUUGAGUUUAGGCCCUGAAUGUUCCACAUGCUAACUGAUAGGUUGUUGAGUUUAGGCCCUGAAUGUUCCACAUGCUAACUGAUAGUGAUUUCAUGUUCCAAAAGAAAGAAUAGCAGUCAGAAAAACAGUAACUACUAACUAAUAAGUUGUUAAGAGUGUGAUAAACAGGAUAACAGCUAACAUUCUUUCUGUUGCAUAUAUAAAUAUUCCUAUUCAUUGAACAAGUACAUUCUAGUACAAUUGUGUGUGUGUGUCCGUGUGUGUCCGUGUGUGUCCGUGUGUGUCCGUGUGUGUCCG